CAGUCGCCGCGGGAAUACGAAGGGGGCUAGCGUUGCUCGGAAUUACUGGGCGUAAAGCGCACGUAGGCGGCUUGGUAAGUUAGAGGUGAAAGCCUGGAGCUCAACUCCAGAAUUGCCUUUAAGACUGCCGAGCUAGCAGGUGAGAGAGGUAAGUGGAAUUCCGAGUGUAGAGGUGAAAUUCGUAGAUAUUCGGAAGAACACCAGUGGCGAAGGCGGCUUACUGGCUCAUACUGGACGCUGAGGUGCGAAAGCGUGGGGAGCAAACAGGAUUAGAUACCCCUGUAGUCCCUGUCUCUUAUAC
rnacentral:rRNA from 1 species